GAUGAAUGCUGGCGGCGUGCCUAACACAUGCAAGUCGAGCGGCAGCGCGGGGUGCUUGCACCCUGUCGGCGAGCGGCGAACGGCUGAGUAACGCGUAGGAAUUUGCCCCAAAGUGAGGAAUAACUGCCCGAAAGGGUAGCUAAUGCCGCAUAUGGUCUUCGGAUUAAAGGAUUUAUCCGCUUUGGGAGAAGCCUGCGUUGGAUUAGGUUGUUGGUAGGGUAAUGGCCUACCAAGCCGACGAUCCAUAGCUGGUCUGAGAGGAUGAUCAGCCAGACUGGAACUGAGACACGGUCCAGAAUCCUACGGGAGGCAGCAGUGAGGAAUCUUCCACAAUGGGCGAAAGCCUGAUGGAGCAACGCCGCGUGAAGGAUGAAGGCCUUCGGGUUGUAAACUUCUUUUAUGAGUGAAGAAUAUGACGGUAACUCAUGAAUAAGCACCGGCUAACUACGUG
rnacentral:rRNA from 1 species